CAGUAGCCGCGGGAAUACGGAGGGAGCUAGCGUUGUUCGGAAUUACUGGGCGUAAAGCGUGCGUAGGCGGUUACUCAAGUCAGAGGUGAAAGCCCGGGGCUCAACCCCGGAACUGCCUUUGAAACUAGGUGACUAGAAUCUUGGAGAGGUCAGUGGAAUUCCGAGUGUAGAGGUGAAAUUCGUAGAUAUUGGAAGAACACCAGUGGCGAAGGCGACUGACUGGACAAGUAUUGACGCUGAGGUGCGAAAGCGUGGGGAGCAAACAGGAUUAGAUACCCCGGUAGUCCCUGUCUCUUAUACA
rnacentral:rRNA from 1 species